rnacentral:rRNA from 1 species
GAUGAACGCUAGCUACAGGCUUAACACAUGCAAGUCGAGGGGUAACGAGAGGAAAGCUUGCUUUCCUUGUCGACGACCGGCGCACGGGUGAGUAACGCGUAUCCAACCUGCCCCCAACUAAGGAAUAACCUUGCGAAAGUAAGACUAAUACCUUAUAAUUUCCUCAGAUGUCAUCUGACGAGGAAUAAAGAUUUAUCGGUUGUGGAUGGGGAUGCGUCUGAUUAGCUUGUUGGCGGGGUAACGGCCCACCAAGGCAACGAUCAGUAGGGGUUCUGAGAGGAAGGUCCCCUCCAUGGGAACUGAGACACCGUCCAAACUCGUACGGGAGGCAGCAGUGAGGAAUAUUGGUAAAUGAGCGGAAGCCUGAACCAGCCAAGUAGCGUGCAGGAUGACGGGCCUAUGGGUUGUAAACUGCUUUUAUACAGGAAUAAAGUUAGCCACGUGUGGUUAUUUGUAGGUACUGUAUGAAUAAGGACCGGCUAAUUCCGUGCCAGCCGCCGCCGUAA